GUUGGCUAUGGAGACAUGUGUCCUAUCACCCUGGGGGGAAAGAUAGUGGGGACUUUAUGUGCUAUUGCAGGGGUGCUCACCAUUGCACUUCCUGUGCCAGUCAUUGUCUCCAAC